UACAGAGGGUGCAAGCGUUAAUCGGAAUUACUGGGCGUAAAGCGCGCGUAGGUGGUUUGUUAAGUUGGAUGUGAAAUCCCCGGGCUCAACCUGGGAACUGCAUUCAAAACUGACAAGCUAGAGUAUGGUAGAGGGUGGUGGAAUUUCAGGUGUAGCGGUGAAAUGCGUAGAUAUCUGAAGGAACAUCAGUGGCGAAAGCGACUUCCUGGACCAAUACUGACGCUCAUGUGCGAAAGCGUGGGGAGCAAACAGG
rnacentral:rRNA from 1 species